rnacentral:rRNA from 1 species
GACAGAGGGUGCAAACGUUGUUCGGAAUUACUGGGCGUAAAGCGCGUGUAGGCGGCUAAGUAAGUCGGGCGUGAAAUCCCACGGCUCAACCGUGGAAGUGCACUCGAAACUGCAUAGCUAGAGUCCUGGAGAGGAAGGUGGAAUGCUUGGUGUAGAGGUGAAAUUCGUAGAUAUCAAGCGGAACACCGGUGGCGAAGGCGGCCUUCUGGACAGUGACUGACGCUGAGACGGCGAAAGCGUUGGGGAGCAAACAGG